CGUACACUCCUACGGGAGGCAGCAGUGGGGAAUAUUGGACAAUGGGCGCAAGCCUGAUCCAGCCAUGCCGCGUGAGUGAUGAAGGCCCUAGGGUUGUAAAGCUCUUUCACCGGAGAAGAUAAUGACGGUAUCCGGAGAAGAAGCCCCGGCUAACUUCGUGCCAGCAGCCGCGGUAAUACGAAGGGGGCUAGCGUUGUUCGGAAUUACUGGGCGUAAAGCGCACGUAGGCGGAUCGAUCAGUCAGGGGUGAAAUCCCAGGGCUCAACCCUGGAACUGCCUUUGAUACUGUCGAUCUGGAGUAUGGAAGAGGUGAGUGGAAUUCCGAGUGUAGAGGUGAAAUUCGUAGAUAUUCGGAGGAACACCAGUGGCGAAGGCGGCUCACUGGUCCAUUACUGACGCUGAGGUGCGAAAGCGUGGGGAGCAAACAGGAUUAGAUACCCUAGUAGUCCCAUG
rnacentral:rRNA from 1 species